rnacentral:rRNA from 1 species
AUUGAACGCUAGCGGGAUGCUUUACACAUGCAAGUCGAACGAGUGGCGGACGGGUGAGUAAUAUAUCGGAACGUGCCCAGUAGCGGGGGAUAACUACUCGAAAGAGUGGCUAAUACCCCAUCCUAUUGGAACGGCCUAUAUCGGAUUAGCUAGUUGGGGGGGUAAAGGCUCACCAAGGCAACGAUCCGUCGCUGGUUUGAGAGGACGACCAGCAACACUGGUACUGAGACACGGCCCAGAUGCCUACGGGAGGCAGCAGUGGGGAAUUUUGGACAAGGGGGGAAACCCUGAUCCAGCCAUCCCGCGUGUAUGAGAAGGCCUUCGGGUUGUAAAGUACUUUUGGCAGAGAAGCGGUAUCUGCAGAAUAAGCACCGGCUAACUACGUGCCAGCAGCCGCGGUAAUAC